rnacentral:rRNA from 1 species
GAUGAACGCUGGCGGCGUGCCUAAUACAUGCAAGUCGAGCGAACGGACGAGAAGCUUGCUUCUCUGAUGUUAGCGGCGGACGGGUGAGUAACACGUGGAUAACCUACCUAUAAGACUGGGAUAACUUCGGGAAACCGGAGCUAAUACCGGAUGAUAUUUUGAACCGCAUGGUUCAAAAGUGAAAGACGGUCUUGCUGUCACUUAUAGAUGGAUCCGCGCUGCAUUAGCUAGUUGGUAAGGUAACGGCUUACCAAGGCAACGAUGCAUAGCCGACCUGAGAGGGUGAUCGGCCACACGGGAACUGAGACACGGUCCAGACUCCUACAGGAGGCAGCAGUAGGGAAUCUUACGCGAAGGGCGAGAGCCUGACGGAGCAAAGCCGCGUGAGUGAUGAAGGUCUUCGGAUCGUAAAACUCUGUUAUUAGGGAAGAACAAAUGUGUAAGUAACUGUGAACAUAUUGACGGUACCUAAUCAGAAAGCCACGGCUAACUACGUG